UUAGCAGUUUUGAAAAGUGUGGUUCCCUUCAUCCACAGGACAGUCACACAAGAAUGACUGCUAUAGUCUGCUUCUUUAUACGUUGCCUGCCUAAGCGCGUCAGUCCUGAUGCAUUGGAGUGAAGGGACAAAAAGAGUAGUUUCACAGACGUGGGAGUGGAGGAAAAAAUUGUAUUAUCUCUACAAGAAUGGAUGGGAUGAUGAAAACCCAGGAGCAUAGCUAAGGGAAGGGUUGAGCAGAUUAGAGCUCUUUUGAAAGAAAAGCU
rnacentral:lncRNA from 1 species